rnacentral:lncRNA from 1 species
AAUCAAAAAUGUUUGGUACCUUUUAGAUGGAGCUUGGGUCAAAAUAAGCAAGUGUGGUGCAAUAUCAUACCCAUGGAAGACUGGCAUAUCCUCCUAGUAAAACCUUGGAUGAGUACUUAUAAUGCAAGAUAUGAUCACCAAGAUGGAAGUUAUGGCACAAUGGUGCUGAGAAGAACCUUAAGGAAAGAAAACUCUACAGAGAAGUAGCACCCA